AAGGAGCUGAUGAGACAUCCAGAAUGUGCAGCAUUCUGAGGAUCCUCCAGGAUCAGGAGCCACUGUGCCAAUCCAUGGAUGCCAGACAACAGCUGAAAUAAUGUGAAUGUUUCUGGAACUGUACAGCUCACAUGCAUAUUUAAAGAGGAGCCAGAAGACUUCGAAAACUUGUACGGACAUGACACGAUCACAGCGCGGUCGCAUUCACGCUCGCAGAAGACCUUCAUUUGAGGAGUCACCUUUAGAACGCUGGGUCAGAGUAGCGAGACGUGAAAAGUCAUAUAACGUGUAUGCAAUUAAUUAUGUUAACAUAUGAACUGAUUGAUUUUCACAGCAGGUUGUCUGGAAAACUGAGGUUUAUUUUAUGUGCUUUGGCAAUUAUGUCCUGUUAUGGAGCUGUACGGAAUUGAGAGAUAUUCUGAAGUAACAUUAAUCUAACCAUAUGUUCAAGGUUAUCUCAUGAAUUGGUCUGUUAAAAGUUUUACCUGUGGCAUAUAA